AUGAUUUGCAAGACUCUGGUCACAUGCCCACACCUGUGGCUUCUGAAGCAGAGCACCAGCAGUGACAGUCCCACCAGAACCGCAUGGAAUAGAAAACUGUGCAUUUCCCUAAGGAAAGGGAAUGCCAGAGAAGGGCAGAAGGGAAAUCAGGAAGACAAAACGGUAAAUUACCUACCACAAAUCCAAUUCAUUGGUAUUUUUCCACUUACACUUAACCAAGCAACGAUUUCUCCUGGUCCCAUAAUGGAAAAGAGGGUUUAUCUAGAUUCAUAUAUACAAGACUGAAGAGUGAAGAGAGACCCAGAGAAUGUUCUAAAAUCUGCCAGUUAGCAUAAUCACACAGAGAAAUCUCUGCUUCCAGAGGAGGAGCCAAGUUCAAGUCAGAGGUGAGGAAUGCCAACAGGAAAGCUCACUUUCUCCGGGGAUAUUCAGGCCAACACUAGGAAACCACAGCCAAGUCAGGCAGGGCUUGGGGCGGAACUGCUGACACCUCCACCCUAGCCAAUCCAAGGUGCACGCCUGCCUCAUGCAGCCCAGCGUGACUCCCGCCAUUGGCACACUGUGCCCAUCACAGGCUGGAGCUCCUUUCCUCCACCGUCUUCCCAACUCCUGCCAACCAGAACUUAACUACUCCUUUGGAUUCUGCUUUUCACUUGUUCUUCAUCAGACUAUGGAAGCUUAGACUUCAUAAUUUGGCUGAGACUUCAAAAAUAGUUUUAAAGAAAGCUAUUCCCACCCUGCUAAAAAUUCCAGUCUUUCUUCAAAUGUCAACUCAAAAACAACCCUCCUCAUGGAGACUCCUGUGGCCACCUCAGUGGGAAACAUUCGACAUCAUUGGUAUUAGAAUCACCGAUGUUGGAAACAAGCUCACUUAAGUAGCUUCCAAGUAUGAGAUUUCUCUACUUGCCUCUUUAAUAUUCUGCCAUCACUUUUAGAGAGUUAUCUCACCUAACUCCAGCCGGAAAUACUAAUACAUGCCCUGGGUCUAAAGAAAAUAUUGCCUUUGGAAUUUGUGUAAGAAUUUACGAUUGAGACCUCUGAAUAUGCCAUGAAAAAUAUGAGCCUUACUCUCAUGAGCUGAGGGAAGUGAAUGUAUUUGAAUCUAUGAAUCUCAAAACAACAUGUAAAAUGUGUAAGGAUCUGAUGCUACAAGGGUUAUUAGUUUGAAAUUUGGUGAUUUUGCUGCCAGAUGUCCAUAAACUACACUACCCACUGACAAAUACAUUUAUUAGAAGUUUUUCUUACAAAAAGACAUGAACUAUUUUAUCAGGGAAUCUAAUAUACAAAUAGUUCCUAGAAAUUGUAAGUCUUGUCAUACAGCACACUAGUGGUUACAGCCUAUGAAAUAUAUAAACAACUUCUAA
rnacentral:lncRNA from 1 species